CUGCAGCCCGAGUGGUGAUCGAUUUUAUUGAGCCUAAAGCGUCCGUAGCCGGACUAGUAAACCCUUGGGUAAAUUGGGCAGCUUAACUGUCCAAAUUCCGAGGGGACUGCUAGUCUUGGGACCGGGAGAGGUCAGAGGUACUCAAGGGGUAGGGGCUAAAUCCUGUAAUCCUUUGGGGACCACCAGUGGCGAAGGCGUCUGACUAGAACGGAUCCGACGGUAAGGGACGAAACCCUGGGGCACGAACCGGAUUAGAGACCCGAGUAGUCC
rnacentral:rRNA from 1 species